rnacentral:tRNA from 2 species
GGGCGGGUGGCGGAAUUGGUAGACGCACCGCACUCAAAAUGCGGCGGCUUCGGUCAUAAGAGUUCAAGUCUCUUCCCGCCCACUA